UCAGGACGAACGCUGGCGGCGUGCCUAAUACAUGCAAGUCGAACGCUUCUUUCCUCCCGAGUGCUUGCACUCAAUUGGAAAGAGGAGUGGCGGACGGGUGAGUAACACGUGGGUAACCUACCCAUCAGAGGGGGAUAACACUUGGAAACAGGUGCUAAUACCGCAUAACAGUUUAUGCCGCAUGGCAUAAGAGUGAAAGGCGCUUUCGGGUGUCGCUGAUGGAUGGACCCGCGGUGCAUUAGCUAGUUGGUGAGGUAACGGCUCACCAAGGCCACGAUGCAUAGCCGACCUGAGAGGGUGAUCGGCCACACUGGGACUGAGACACGGCCCAGACUCCUACGGGAGGCAGCAGUAGGGAAUCUUCGGCAAUGGACGAAAGUCUGACCGAGCAACGCCGCGUGAGUGAAGAAAGGUUUUCGGAUCGUAAAACUCUGUUGUUAGAG
rnacentral:rRNA from 1 species